rnacentral:rRNA from 1 species
AUGGUUUAGUGGCGGACGGGUGAGUAACACGUGAGCAACCUACCUUUCAGAGGGGGAUAACAGUUGGAAACAGGUGCUAAUACCGCAUAAGCGCACAGGGCCGCAUGGCCCGGUGUGAAAAACUCCGGUGGUGUAAGAUGGACCCGCGUCUGAUUAGCUUGUUGGCGGGGUAGGGGCCCACCAAGGCGACGAUCAGUAGCCGGCCUGAGAGGGUGGACGGCCACAUUGGGACUGAGACACGGCCCAAACUCCUACGGAAGGCAGCAG